rnacentral:tRNA from 1 species
UGGGUUGUAUUUAAAUAUAAUAUCUGAUUUGCAUUCAGAAGGUGCUAUAAGCCUUCCUUA